AUACACCCAGUCUUUCAUGCCUCGCAGCUCAAGCCCUUCACUCCUGACUACAGUCCAGUUUUCUCAGAGCUAACCCGUGCACUGGACCUCACAGCGGCACCGUUACAACCUAUUAGUCUCGAACGUCGCAUGGUGGAGAAAGGUAACAACUCAAUUGUGCAGGUCAAAGUUCAGUGGUCUUCGUUAGCUCCUGAAUCCUCGACCUGGGAGGAUUAUUCUGUGCUCCGUCAGCACUACCCGAAGGCAAGCUGUUGGGAUGAAGACGCCCGCGCUCAAGGGGAGGCAAAUGUCACACCUUUUUUUUAG
rnacentral:rRNA from 1 species